GACUGCCAUGGUGAUCUCAUCUUCAGUGUCCGAGGAAAUCAGUGGUUAAUCUUCUACUAAGAUCAUUUGAGCUAGAGUUGAUUCUCUAACUUUUCUUCUGAUAGCACGUGUGGUUCUUUCAAUUUCUGGAUCAAACAGUGUCAACGGCGAUCCUGACUUGCGCAUACACAAAUAUGAAAACCUCGGUAGCACUAUGAUUAACAAGAAAAUAAAA
rnacentral:lncRNA from 1 species